UGAAGGUUCUAUAUCUUUAUUCCUGAGCUGUGCUGUGAAUUUAUCACAUAUAGAAGCAGAGGAAUAUUCACAAAUACAACAGACUUGUGAUAGAAUACAAACAGGAGGAAAGCUUCUUCCUGAACUGGACUGCCAGUCAGGCGUUUAAAAUCUAAACAAGAUUCUUUUUUACCUCAGUUUUGUUGUGAGUUCUGGUGUUAAUUUCAUUUAAAAUAUAAGUUUUAAAAAUAUCAUUUUUGUAAUAAUGGUUCUGUGUGGAUGCACAGGACAAUAGUAUCUUUAGAUAAAUGGCUGCAUUUCCAAUAUUUAUAUGUGUGAGACAGAUAGAUUAGCAGCUUUGUUGUGGCAAGAAUGUUAUGCUUUCAAAGUUAUUUUGGCUUUUUUUGUUUCUUCCCUUAUAGAGUUCAAAACAACAGAUGAGUUGUGAAAGAGAACAGCUAAGGGUGUUGUGAAGGAAAAAAAGCCAGAGAAAAUAUAGUUGCAGUCAGAAGUCAAUGUAAAGAAGUCCAGACCUCCGUUGUUUUGACUGCCACUCAUGUAACACCUGACAGUGUGGAUCUAAAAUGUGCAGCCAGGCUUGUGAAUGGCAGAUAGGAACAUGGAAGUGCAAGGAGGAAAAUCCUGAGUACUCAGAGGAAGGAACUUGUCAGCAGGUACUGUGUUCAAGUUCAGACAGAGGCUUUUUUUUUUUUUUUCCCUCAACCAUUUUAGCAUGAAAUCAAUGGGGAAUGCAUAAUUUUUUAGAUGUGUCUGAGAUUGCACAGCAAAUGGUCACCAAUGAGACUCUCAGCUGCCACACAAUCUGGCACAGCUCCUUUCUGCUCCAGAGCUCCCAGUUGCAUUCAGCCCACUGUCGAUGUGAUGCCUCUUUUUGGCUCCUUGCCCAUCUGUUUUAGUAAUUACUGUCAUAUAAACUGAUAUUUCUGGACUAGAAACCAUGUUGUUGUGAGAUAAGCCCGUUGGAGUUACCUUUUGUGACGUGUUCAAGCAGCUCACUGACUUUCUACUCUGAGCUGUAAAAUUUGCAUCCACAUUUCCUGCAAUAUAUAGAGAAGGAUACUAUGUUUUUUUUGGUUUUUUUUUU